GUUAGCCGAACGGGUAGGAUAGGGAAAACCCUCUCCUCAUAAAAAAGUAUAAUGAAUGUUAAAGUAACUAAAUGUUUUACUAAAUUCCCAAUCUUAGUUACUUUAGGCAAAAGUGAAUUGAUGCAAUUCCAUGAAAUUACACUUUGUACCCUUGCUAAGACGUUAGUGGAGCGUGUGUGGUUAACCGGCACACUAAAUGGGUUCUAAGCAAAGGUAGCAAAGGGUGACUCAAUGUUUGUCAUUGUUCAGUGGAGCGUGUGUGGUUAACUGACACAUUGAAUAGAUGACUGUAACAUUGGGGGAACCAUGUAAGUUUGCAUGGUUAUUCACACUCUGUUUUGUGAUCCUCGGCAUCACUGUCACAAAUCGAGGGGCAUAUCGAGAUUUAAACAUGGCAUUGAAAAGUUCAAUGAAUCUCAAAGGAUCUAGGAGUUGUCAAUACAUUUAAAACUUAAUUUCUUUUUCUUUUUUCAUGGUGGAAAAUUAGUGAAUCGUCAUUCACUUACCUUCAAAUGUUCUGCAAUUUGGGUUACGACAUCCCUCUCCCGAGUUGUGGAAUAUUGUGUUGGGUCCUAGCCCNUUCACUUACCUUCAAAUGUUCUGCAAUUUGCGUUACGACAUCCCUCUCCCAAGUUGUAGAGUAUUGUGUUGGGUCCUAGCCUUAAUAUCUCAUUUGGGUGUUUUAUUAAGGACUCAAUCAAUCAACUAACUUGAAUUUUCUCCCGUUUUGUAGAUUUCAAAGUAUGACAGCUAUGGUCUUCCCAAAUCCCAUGGAACAAGCCUUCCACAUGAAGAUGAUAAUCCACGAUUCGUUUGAGGAACACGAGAUCAUGCUUCACUUCCUCCACCUCCUCUUACUGUUCUCCCUAACCCACAAGUUCAAAGGCUUGAAAAGUUCAAGCUCACUCAAGCCCUUUUGGUAAGUAAACAUGAAGAAGUAAAGUCAAUGUGUACACACGUCUUAGAGAUGAAGUCACACAUUGAUAGGUUAAGAAUGUUGGGAUUCGUUGUCUAUGAGGGGCUGGCUGUUGACUGGGUUCUUUAGUCGCUUCCUGACUCAUAUAGUGAGUUCGUAAACCAUAUGAUAGACCACGACAUGACCCUCAUCGAUCUCACCUAUUUGCUUAUUGCUGCUGAAUCAACAAUGAUUUGGUGC
rnacentral:lncRNA from 1 species